UACGGUAGGGGGCUAGCGUUGUCCGGAUUUAUUGGGCGUAAAGAGCGUGUAGGCGGCCAGGUAGGUCUGGUGUGAAAACUCGAGGCUUAACCUCGAGAUGUCAUCGGAAACCAUCUGGCUAGAGUCCGGAAGAGGAGAGUGGAAUUCCUGGUGUAGCGGUGAAAUGCGCAGAUAUCAGGAAGAACACCAAUGGCGAAAGCAGCUCUCUGGGACGGUACUGACGCUAGACGCGAAAGCGUGGGGAGCGAACAGG
rnacentral:rRNA from 1 species